CUGGAGCAGUUUUGCACGUUCAUGAAAGUACAGUGAACAAGAAGGUCCAUCAGUCCCACCGUGGGGUUUGCAGCUGAGCACGGCGGCGUAAUCAUCACCUUCUGCAUCUGCACCCUGCCUCUGCCACAGACAACUGGCUGAUGCAGUUGCUUUCCCGGGAGGUUUCCAUGCUACGUAUGAGAAUGGAAAGUAGUUACAACAGCAAUGUUCAGUCUCAUCAAGAGGCCCAGGAGAAGCCCAACCUGCCUGGAGGCAGCGGAGCAGCCGGCGAUGGCACCGAGAGCGGCGUGAUGAGCUCCACCUGCUCCUGGCUGCCACCGCGGGCGCCCGGAGCAUCUCCAGCCUCCAGAGGGGGNNNNNNNNNNNNNNNNNNNNNNNNNNNNGAGCUAGGGCUCUCGGCAGAAAGAGGGUCCCGUCACCCGUCACGGGUGAUUCCUGGCAGCGUUCGCCGGAGGUGGGAGAGCCGGGUGUCCGAAGUGCAGAGAGGCGGGAGGGGAAGAUCCAAGGUCAACGUUGAUGCCCAGAUUUCUACCCUUAAAGCCCAAAUCGAAAUUCUGAGUCAGAGGUCAGCACAGGCUUUUUAAGCACAGGAAAAGCUGUGAGUCACUUCUGAACCGCGUGUCUAGACUGCUGCGGGCAAACCGCGAGUCUUUGGGAGGAAGGCUGGGCGAGGAUGACAGCACGCAAGAAACGGGUCCGCGGGGGCCAAACGCGUUUUGGAGGCGGUGGCGGGGGGGAGCGGUGCCGGGGUGGAGGCUGAGCUGGCCAGGGCUGGCAUCGCGCCCGUGCUGUCCCCAUUCCCGGUCCGGUCCCGUCCCAUCCCGUCCCGGGGCAGGCGGGACCUGCCACCGUUUCCCCAGUGAGGCUUUGCCCAGAAAACUGGCUGUUGCUUACUGGGAUUUUUAGCCAGAAAAUUGCAGUUUUUAACUUGGUUUGAUCCGAACGCCACUGAAAGCGGUGGAAGCGCCUGGCCUUCGGGGAGGAGGCUGGUGAGGGAGGUGGUGAGGACCCUCCAACGCGGGUUGGGGGCUCGGAGCGGGUAGCAGCCACUUUGUGGGAUUUUUUCCCCCCUCUCCUCGUUCCUCAGCAGGUUGAGACCCAGAAGAGCGGGUGCCGUUACCUUAAUAAAACAGAGGUUGGGCUUUAAGCCGGGCUAUGG
rnacentral:lncRNA from 1 species